rnacentral:lncRNA from 1 species
GUUCAAAAUGAUAGUCCAUGCAAAUGAAAAUUUAUUUCAAGUUAAACCAGAAUGAGAAAACUAUCUUGCAAUUUACAGUCUCAAUCAAAAGGUAGAGGAAGUCAUAGCAUAAAACCACAUAUAAUAGAAAUGUAAAAAACAUGAGUAGAGUUGGAGACUGACUGUCUGAAACAAUUUGGUAUCCACAUGCACCCUCUUCAACCUUCAAUAUAAUAAUCCUAUCAACAAAAGUUCCAACAAAGAAUAUAUAGGAAAUUAAAAAAUUAUGACAAGAGGUUGAGCAAAAUCAUGAUGGAGAAAAUAGAUACUCACUCAUUCCUUCUUCACUGAUCCCUUGCUUCACCUUCUAUUUCUUUAAAGACACCUCAAACACAACUGUUAAAUAACCCACCAAUCAU